UACGAAGGGUGCAAGCGUUACUCGGAAUUACUGGGCGUAAAGCGUGCGUAGGUGGUGAGUUAAGUCUGUCGUGAAAGCCCCGGGCUCAACCUGGGAAUGGCGAUGGAUACUGGCUCGCUAGAGUGCGGUAGAGGAGAGUGGAAUUCCCAGUGUAGAGGUGAAAUUCGUAGAUAUUGGGAAGAACACCGGUGGCGAAGGCGGCUCUCUGGACCGAGACUGACGCUGAGGCGCGAAAGCGUGGGGAGCAAACAGG
rnacentral:rRNA from 1 species